rnacentral:rRNA from 1 species
AUGGAUAACAACAUUUUAAGUUGGAACAUUAGAGGGCUAAACAACCCUGCUAGACGGAAAGUUGUAGCAAAUUUUGUUCAAAAUCAUCAAUGCAGACUGGUAUGCAUCCAGGAGACCAAACUGAACGUCAUCAACAACCAAAUUAUUUCUGAAUGUUUGGGGAGUCGUUUUGUCGACAACUUUGCAUACCUUCCAGCUGAUGGUACCCGUGGUGGAAUCCUCAUCGCUGCAUCUGCAGACCAUCUGAAGAUUACUAAUCUUACGCAUCUCUCUGGCAUGUACACUUUGACUGUAAUGGUCACGGAUCUCUCUUGCAAUUUUGACUGGAUGGUUACUGGAGUAUAUGGGCCUCAAGCGGAUAAUGAGAAAUCCAACUUUUUGCUGGAAAUGAGACACCUGAAAACAGUUUGCUCCCUGGAAUGGCUUAUCCUUGGGGAUUUUAACCUGAUCAGCAAGGCAGAUGAAAAGAGCAACCAAAACAUCAAUCUGAGACUGUUGCGAAGCUUUAGAGCAGCGAUUGACGAUCUCAACCUCAAAGAAUUACCACUCACUGGUCGACGCUUCACAUGGUCCAACGAGAGGCUCAACUGCACCAUGACAAAGAUUGACAAGGCUCUUUUUACCGAGGAAUGGGAGGCUAAAUUUCCUGACUUCCAAAUGCUUGCUGGGUCUACCGAAAUAUCUGACCACUGCCCUCUAAUUCUCAAAAAACUCAAUAACAAGAGAUUCCCUGGUUUUAGAUUCGAAGCUUGGUGGGCAACGCAAUCAGGGUUCAGAGAAACCGUUGAACAUUUUUGGAAGAAACCUUUCUCCUGCUCCGAUCACAUUCGUAGGCUACACAUCAAGCUCACUAGGACGGCAAAAGGCCUCAGAAAAUGGAGCAAGCAAAUUCUCAAAGAAAGAAAAGUGGCUGCUGAUAUUGCAUCCGAAGUGAUCUUCCAGUUGGACGUCGCACAAGAAUCGCGGCCACUUUCUGUUGAGGAACUAAAGCUGCGCGUUUUUCUCAAGUCCAGAUUACUUGCACUAGCUGCCAUUGACAAGAUCAAGUGGCGCCAACGAUCCAGGUUGAUCUGGAUCAAAGCCGAGGAUGCAAAUACAAGAUUAUUUCACUUGCGAGCAAAUGGCCGAAGAAGAAAGAACCACAUCCCCUUCUUACAUGUGGAUAGUAGAGUUGUAACGGAGCACAAUGACAAAGCAGGGGUUUUAUUUGAUCACUUCAACACCCUGAUGGGACAACGCCAAGCAACUGAAAAGUGUUUGAACUGGGACUACAUCAAUAUGCCCACUGCUGAUCUGAGCCAUCUUGAUCAGCCCUUCACUCUCGAGGAAUUGCAGACUGCUAUAUUUGAUAUUGCCGCUGAGAAGGCACCUGGGCCUGAUGGAUUUAUCAGAACUUUCUUCAAAAAAUGUUGGCACAUUGUCAAGAUUGACCUUCUCAAUGCAGUCAACCAGAUGUCUGCUCUUGAUGGCAAGCAAUGGAACCUCCUCAACACGGCGUACAUCGUGCCUAUUCCUAAGAAAGAAAAUGCCCUCAGACCACAGGACUACAGACCAAUCAGCUUAACUCAUAGCGUUGCAAAAAUUCUUGGAAAACUUCUUGCCAGCAGAGUUGGUCCUGAGUUACAACACAUCAUCUCGGUUAGUCAGAGUGCUUUCCUUAGGGGAAGAAGUAUUCAAGAAAACUUUCUUUAUGUUCAAACCUGA